UACGUAGGGCGCAAGCGUUAUCCGGAAUUAUUGGGCGUAAAGAGCUCGUAGGCGGUUUGUCGCGUCUGCUGUGAAAUCCCGAGGCUCAACCCGGACUUGCAGUGGGUACGGGCAGACUAGAGUGUGGUAGGGGAGACUGGAAUUCCUGGUGUAGCGGUGAAAUGCGCAGCUAUCAGGAGGAACACCGAUGGCGAAGGCAGGUCUCUGGGCCACUACUGACGCUGGAGAAAGCGAAAGCGUGGGGAGCGAACAGG
rnacentral:rRNA from 1 species